rnacentral:rRNA from 1 species
UGAACGCUAGCUACAGGCUUAACACAUGCAAGUCGAGGGGCAGCAUGGUCUUAGCUUGCUAAGGCCGAUGGCGACCGGCGCACGGGUGAGUAACACGUAUCCAACCUGCCGUCUACUCUUGGACAGCCUUCUGAAAGGAAGAUUAAUACAAGAUGGCAUCAUGAGUCCGCAUGUUCACAUGAUUAAAGGUAUUCCGGUAGACGAUGGGGAUGCGUUCCAUUAGAUAGUAGGCGGGGUAACGGCCCACCUAGUCUUCGAUGGAUAGGGGUUCUGAGAGGAAGGUCCCCCACAUUGGAACUGAGACACGGUCCAAACUCCUACGGGAGGCAGCAGUGAGGAAUAUUGGUCAAUGGGCGAGAGCCUGAACCAGCCAAGUAGCGUGAAGGAUGACUGCCCUAUGGGUUGUAAACUUCUUUUAUAAAGGAAUAAAGUCGGGUAUGCAUACCCGUUUGCAUGUACUUUAUGAAUAAGGAUCGGCUAACUCCGUGCCAGCAGCCGCGGUAAUACGGAGGAUCCGAGCGUUAUCCGGAUUUAUUGGGUUUAAAGGGAGCGUAGAUGGAUGUUUAAGUCAGUUGUGAAAGUUUGCGGCUCAACCGUAAAAUUGCAGUUGAUACUGGAUAUCUUGAGUGCAGUUGAGGCAGGCGGAAUUCGUGGUGUAGCGGUGAAAUGCUUAGAUAUCACGAAGAACUCCGAUUGCGAAGGCAGCCUGCUAAGCUGCAACUGACAUUGAGGCUCGAAAGUGUGGGUAUCAAACAGGAUUAGAUACCCUGGUAGUCCACACGGUAAACGAUGAAUACUCGCUGUUUGCGAUAUACGGCAAGCGGCCAAGCGAAAGCGUUAAGUAUUCCACCUGGGGAGUACGCCGGCAACGGUGAAACUCAAAGGAAUUGACGGGGGCCCGCACAAGCGGAGGAACAUGUGGUUUAAUUCGAUGAUACGCGAGGAACCUUACCCGGGCUUAAAUUGCAGAUGAAUUACGGUGAAAGCCGUAAGCCGCAAGGCAUCUGUGAAGGUGCUGCAUGGUUGUCGUCAGCUCGUGCCGUGAGGUGUCGGCUUAAGUGCCAUAACGAGCGCAACCCUUGUUGUCAGUUACUAACAGGUUCCGCUGAGGACUCUGACAAGACUGCCAUCGUAAGAUGUGAGGAAGGUGGGGAUGACGUCAAAUCAGCACGGCCCUUACGUCCGGGGCUACACACGUGUUACAAUGGGGGGUACAGAGGGCCGCUACCACGCGAGUGGAUGCCAAUCCCAAAAACCUCUCUCAGUUCGGACUGGAGUCUGCAACCCGACUCCACGAAGCUGGAUUCGCUAGUAAUCGCGCAUCAGCCACGGCGCGGUGAAUACGUUCCCGGGCCUUGUACACACCGCCCGUCAAGCCAUGGGAGCCGGGGGUACCUGAAGUGCGUAACCGCGAGGAGCGCCCUAGGGUAAAACUGGUA